rnacentral:rRNA from 1 species
UCCUACGGGGCGCAGCAGUGGGGAAUAUUGCACAAUGGGGGGAACCCUGAUGCAGCGACGCCGCGUGAGUGAAGAAGUAUUUCGGUAUGUAAAGCUCUAUCAGCAGGGAAGAAGAUGACGGUACCUGACUAAGAAGCCCCGGCUAACUACGUGCCAGCAGCCGCGGUAAUACGUAGGGGGCAAGCGUUAUCCGGAUUUACUGGGUGUAAAGGGAGCGUAGACGGUGCAGCAAGUCUGAUGUGAAAGGUCGGGGCCCAACCCCGGGACUGCAUUGGAAACUGUUGAACUGGAGUACAGGAGAGGUA